rnacentral:rRNA from 1 species
UACGUAGGCAGCGAGCGUUGUUCGGAGUUACUGGGCGUAAAGGGUGUGUAGGCGGUUGCUUAAGUUUGGUGUGAAAUCUCCCGGCUCAACCGGGAGGGUGCGCCGAAUACUGAGUGACUAGAGUGCGGGAGAGGUAAGCGGAAUUCCUGGUGUAGCGGUGAAAUGCGUAGAUAUCAGGAGGAACACCUGUGGUGUAGACAGCUUACUGGACCAUUACUGACACUGAGACACGAAAGCGUGGGUAGCAAACAGG